UUUUUCUCUCUUCUGCUUCUUUUUCGUCACCAUUAACCUGAGACCUCUUAAUCCUCGCAUGCCCUUCAAUAAAGCGAUCAACAACAUUCUGAAGAUUCAUAUCACUCUCUAUCUUUUCGAUAUCAGCCCCACAUAAAGGACAGUCCUUAAAGCGCAAGAGACAUGCUCUGUUUUACCAAACAAUAACCAUCAGGCAGCAGUAUUGAAAAGUGACCAGAUAAAAAAAAUUCCCUUUCUUGAUUUUAAAGAGGGAAAUGACAUGCAUGCAUGGAAGUAGAAAGAUAGUAAGAGGCCUCAAUUUUCACUUACUUGCAGAAUACAUGAGAACAGGGCACACAUCUGCUGCAAUCAUAAAGAAGUGCCUGACAAAUCAUGCAGCUAAAAGGACCCAGCUUAAAUGCUUGAGAAUCAUAUCCAAAGGGGCAUUUAGGUGACACAGUUGCAGAUUCUCCAGACUCUUGUUUAGCCUUGUUCUCCUGGCCAUAUCCAAAGGGGCAUUGAGGUGACACAACUGCAGAUUCUCCAGACGCUUCUUUAGGCUUGCUCUCCUGGCCAUAUCCAAAGGGGCAUUUAGGUGACACAAUUGCAGAUUCCCUAGACUCUUGCUUAGGCUUGCUCUCCUGACUAGCCGGCUGUUUAUUUUGGUUUUCACCAGGCUUCUUAGUAGAAGUGUCAUCAGGUCUGGAAGCUCUAACAAAAGGGCAAACAGGUUUCAUCUUGAUGGAAU
rnacentral:lncRNA from 1 species